rnacentral:lncRNA from 10 species
CUACUCGGGAGGCUGAGGCAGGAGAAUCACUCGAACCUGGGAGCGGAGUGUGCAGUGAGCCAAGAUCAUGCCAUUGCACUCCAGCCUGGGCAAUAAGAGCAAAACUCUGUCUCAAAAAAAAAAAAGAAGAAGAAGAAGAAGAAGAAAAAAAAAAAUCGAGACCUAACAACAAAACAGAAGAGUCAUUCACAACCCUAUUGAGAGGAAAAACGUCUUCACAAAUACAAAAGUGUUUCAAGGAAAAAUUGAAGUCACUCCUGCCCACAUCCACUGCCCAGUGUAACCGC